ACCUCUAGCCAGGGACGCGCGCUCGGUCCCCCGCCGUGCGCCCCCGGUCCCGCGCCCAGGCUCCCGCCCCUGGCCUCCUUACCAGCCACUUGUCGCCCAGCUGCGAACUGGAGCGGGAGGCGGCGGCCGGAGGGCCCAGGACAGCCCCGGGAGGGCGGCGAGGCGGAGCAGGAGCGCCCCGGCUCCGGCCACAUUCUCAGAGUCAGGAAAAGGGGCGAGAGGCCACAUGUCUCCCUCUCGCCCAACUGAAAACGAAACGGCGCUCCAGCAGAUUGGGUGGAAAGAGCUGGGUCUCUUUUCUCUGUUUUUCACGCUAGAAAGGGCUUGUAAACAUUGUUCCUUUUAAAAUGACCUACCCCAGGCAUUUGUUUGGGCACACUUCUGUCCUGGGGUCAUCGUUCCUAGGUGGCUUCGGACCUGGGACUUUUCCUGUAUCUGCACAUUGUCGUUUUAUACACAAUUGCCAAGGUGGGACUGCUUUCAACUUUACUGUGCUUGAAGCUGCAAAGGUUCUGCCCUGAUGUUUCCUGGAAUAAUGCUGAGGACUGCCUUUCGGGUAGCCGCCCUAUUCAGUUCACUUCAUCUCGGAAAUACCUGACCCCUGCCUUGGAUCCAGCGGCCCUCCUGAGAGCUGAGGAAGGAGGAAAUCCUAUGUGUCUGCUCCCGGAGCUGCCACAACCCAUCUUCCCACAACUCGGAACUUGGAAAAAGGAACCCAGGACACGACUUUGCUUUUCUUUUGGACCUAGUUGAUACAAGUUAACAGGAUAUGCUUCUGGCCUGUUUCUGGAUUCUAAGGGUAGAACCAGCAUAAAACUAGUCAGUCCAAGUAUUUCUAAAGAUCCACAGACACAGUUCUCCUGGAUUUGGGAAGCCUAGAGAUAUUAGCACAAUAAUUAAGGCCCAACAACUUUUAAAAGCCUUUCCACUGCACAGUGAAAGAAAACCACAAACUCCUUGUUUAAUAAGUGGGAUCACGUGCUUUUAACACGAGGAAAAGGUCAAUCUGAAGCAACUGAUAUGGAACUGCCAGAGUAGGAGUUGAAAAUCUUCCUAAACUGCUGGAGGAUACACCUCUGAUAGCUUGAGACAAAUAUCCUCUUGAUCAUUGUUUCACCAUAUUUGUCUUUGCUCAUGGAGAACCAUUUUGAUCCGUGGUUUAGCCUCCCAGGUGAUUGAACAAUACCGGUGAUCUGAGGCAGACCCUCUGUGACGGAUAACAGGAAAGAAUAUUGAUUGAACAUCUACUCAAGAACUGCAAAACAGAGAUUACCUGACCUAAAGAUGAAUCCAGGAUUCGGUGGUGCCUGUUCCAGGAACCUUUAGUGUGAAGGAUCCUCCAGAUGUGCCUUUUGCCUUCCACCAUGAUUGUGAGGCCUCCCCAGCCACACAGAACUGAGUCCAUUCUCAAUUUUCUGUGCAAAUUGGGGAAGGCUGUUGAUAAUCGGUGGAUGCUAUAGUGCCCAUGGAAAGACUCUAGUCUGAAGAUACCAGUCUCUCCCUCCCAAGAUCACCUCCCCUGACCAACCUUCUGCACUCCUGACAGAUACAAGGGAGCAAGCAAGUUGCACCCAACCUAAUAGUAAAUUGCAGGGACAUUUCCAUUCUAAGGAAGGAAUUUUUGUGUGUGUUGCAACUCAGCUUCUGCUCUGGCAUUUUGCUGUGCAUUUAUAUUGCCAAUCAUGUUGGAGAGUCCAUGUGGUGAUUUCUGAAAACGAGAUGUGAGAAAGAAGAGGAUAAUUUAAGUCUAGACCUACAGAUUGUGCUGAUAAAGUGAUGAAGAACUACAAUCUUCUUAGUCAUUUCAUUGUAUAAGUGCAAUAAAGGAUUUUGUGUCUUUCCUGGCAAACAACUUGUGACCACAGUGAUGGCUCCAGCAGAAUGGAAAAGACCCUUUACCUCACAUCUCAGAAGUAAAGAUGCUGAUUAUUUGACAUCGCCAUUGGAAUCUCAAAACAGUGUAAAGCAUUUGCUAAAAAGAGUCACUUUCUGAGAAAUGACUCAGAAUUCGACUUACGUACUAGCAGAACUUAUUGCCCAUAAAAGGAAAGGCCACACUUUUUGUGAAAACUUAAUAAUCCCUAGGAUGUAAAAUUAUACUGAGUUAAAUCCUAGUCCCAUUUUUAGUACAAGAAACUGGAAAAAAAUAAUCCACUCUCAAAUGGUAAGACAAAUUGAGAUAUUGCUGAAAAGCCUCUUGACCCUGAAAAGUUCUGAAUAAUAAACUGAUAAAAGCAGCAGCAGCAUCUAACUUGACACCAGUCAUGUCAUUUG
rnacentral:lncRNA from 1 species